rnacentral:lncRNA from 10 species
UCUGAUUGGCUUUGACUGGGCCACCUGCAGGGAGUGAGUAGAUCUCCUUGGCUAACAGUCCCAGUGAAACUACACAUAGUGAAGACUGGGUUAUUUCUCAAAGCAAAGUUGGAGAAGAGAGAUGCCUGGCAGGAGCAAAGACUCCAAGACAGUAGAUACAGAUAGAAGAAGCCUAAUUCUUUAGGUCAUCUCAGAGAGAUUACCUAGAAGUGAUCCUGGGAGUCACCUAGAAGAUCCUCUUGACCUGCACCAUAUAUUGUGAAGGCAGGAGCUUGAUCCCAUUGUGGUCUGAAUGCAGGGAACAUUUCUUUAUCUUGGGAAUAUGAUGAUUAAUAUUAUGUGUUAAUUUGACUGGGCCAUGUGGUACCAAGAUAUUUAGUCAAACAUUAUUCUUGUUGUUUCUGUGAGGGUGCUUUUGGAUGGCAUUAAGGUUUAAAUUGGUGGACAUUGAUGGAGUAAAGCAGAUUGCCCUCCCCAGUGUGGUGGGUUGAAUCCAAUCAGCUGAAGCCCUGAAUAGAACAAAAGGCUGACCCUUCCUUGAGUAGAAGACAAUUCUCCUGCCUGACAGCCUUUGAACUGGAACAUCAGCUCUUCCUGAUUCUACAGCAGUUUCCAGCUUUAUACUUGAACUGGGACUUCAGCUCUACAGGUUUUAGGCUUGACAGCCUAUAUAAUUGUGUGAACCAAUUCUUAGUAAUAAAUAUCUUUAUAUAUAUGUACUAUUGGUUUUGUUUCUCUGGAGAACCAUGACCAAUCCAGAGCAGAAGAACAAUGUUGUACAAUGUGUACGUAAAAAGAAUGUUAAAUCUGUCAUUGUUUGAUGUAGCAUUCUAUAUGUGCCAAUGAAGUAAGGUUUAAUUAUGUUUAUAUCUUCCGUGUACUCACUUAAAAACAUUUUCUUUCUAUCAGAUAUUGCAAGAGGUGUGUUAAAGUCUCCAUUGUUAUUAUGUACAUGUCUACUUCUCUUUUCUGUUUCUUAAUUAUAUUUUGUACAUUUUGAAUUCAUGCUAUUGGAUGCAUAUAUAUUUAAAAUUUUGAUAUCUUCUGGUUAUAUUCACCUCUUUGUGAAGUAUCAUUCUUUAUCUCUAGUAAAGAGAUAAAGACUCCCUUAAAGACUGCUUUGUCUGAAUAUUAGUAUAGCUAUAUGAGUUUUCUUUUGGUUAGUGUUUGUAGGAAAUUAUCUUUUUUACUGCUUUACUUAUACUUUUUCUGUGUUUUUAUAUUUAACAUGUGUUUUCUGUAUCAUGUAAGUAUUUUUAUUCUAAUCUGAUAAUCUUUGUAUUUACGUUGUGACACUUAGUCCAUUUAUAUUUAAUAUUAUUACUGAUAGAGUUGGGCCCAUGUCUACCAUUAUAUAAUUUCUUUUAUUUGACUAACAUGAUUUGGUUCUUUUUAAUCCCUUGGUUUCACUUGGAUGAAGCAAAUUUUUAUUCUUCCAUUUUUUAUUCUACAUUUGUUAUUUACUUGUUGUUUUACUAUUCUUUUUAUGUUUUAUGCUCUAGGAUUACAGCAUGCAUUCUUUCUAUAAUUGUCUAAUACAAAUGAUCACUUCUAUAUUAAUGCUAGAAUCUUAAAAAUCUUUAACUUCAUGUAUCAUUGCCCACUUUUUAAGUAAUCAUUGCCAAUUUUACUUCUCUAUAUAUUUUAAAUUUCCCAAGAUAUUGCUAGUAUUAUUUUAUACAAUCAACAUUUAUUUAUAUUUAUCCACAGAUUCAUCCUUUCUGAUACUCUUCAUUCUUUUAUGUUUUCCUGUUUCAUUUUCUUUUGCCAAAAGAAACCCCCAUCAAUGAUAGACUGAUUAAUGAAAAUGUGGCACAUAUACACCAUGGAAUACUAUACAGCCAUAAAAAAUGAGAUCAUGUCCUUUGCAGGGACAUGGAUGAAGCUGGAAGCCACCAUUCUCAGCAAACUAACAGAGGAACAGAAAACCAAACACCGCAUGUUCUCUCUCAUAAAUGGAAGUUGAACAAUGAGAAUACAUGGACACAGGGAGGGGAACAUCACACACUGGAGACUUUCUGGGGGUGGGGGGUAAGGGGAGGGAGAGUAUUCGGACAAAUACCUAAUGCAUGAGGGGCUUAAAAUCUAGACCAGGGAUUGAUAGGUGCAGCACCACGGCACAUGCAUACCGCCAAGGCACAUGUAUUCCUAUGUAACAAACCUGCACAUUCUGCACAUGGAUCCCAGAACUUAAAGUAAAAUAAAAAGACACACAAAAAAGAAACUUUAUUUAAUAUAUAUUUUUUAAAGCAGGCUUACUGGGAAUUAACUCAGUUUUUGUUGAAAACCUCUCAGUCACUUUUUUUUUUUUUUUUUUUUUUUGAGAAGGAGACUCUCUCUGUCGCCAGGCUGGAGUGCAGUGGUGCAAUCUUAGCUCACUGCAACCUCCGCCUCCCGGGUUCAAGAGAUUCCCCUGCCUCAGCCUCCCGAGUAGCUGGGACUACAGGCAUGUGCCACCAUGACCAGGUAAUUUUUUGUAUUUUAGUAGAGUUGGGGUUUCACCAUGUUGGCUAGGCUGGUCUCAAACUCCUGACCUCAGGUGAUCUGCCUCCCAAAGUGCUGGGAUUAUAGGCAUAUGCCACCGCGCCUGGCCAGUCACCUUCAUUUUUGAAGGGUAUAAUUUUUACAUAUGGCAUUCUACAUUUGCAGGGUUUUUUUCUUCUAACAUUUCAGCCAUCAUUUCAUUGUCUUUGGAUUUUCUUUUCUUGAGAAAUCAGCCGUUUUAAGUGUAAUUGCUCCACUUUCAAAGUUAAUGUGUCAUUUUCUUCUUAACUGCUUUUAAAAUUCUCUUCUACAUAGGUUUGAACAGAAAUACUGCAAUGGCCAGAUAGCAUUUCUUUGUAUUGAUAUUAAUUGGAUUGUCUUAACUUCUUAACUCUGUGGGUUAAUACAUUUUUAUCAUUGUAGAGCCAUUAUCUCUUAAAAACAUUUUUGAUGGAGUCUCAGCUCUUUGCUUUUAGGAUGGCAGUUCCCUGAAUCUUUUCCUUCUGAAAAUCCAACUGCAUGUGUAUUAGAACUUUUAGUUAUGUUUUGACACUAUUGGUCUUUCACAUAUUCCUAAGCCCUUUUCUCAUUUAUUUUCUCAGUACUUCAGUUUGGAUAUUUUCUAUUGACCCAUCUUACAGUUAAUGAACCUGUCUUAUUCUGUGCCUGAUAUUCUGGUAAACAUAUUCAUUUAAUUUUUCCCCCAGAUAGUAUAUUUUUAGUUUUAGAAUGUCACUUUGAUUCUUUUUUUAGUUUCAAAUUCUCUGUUUGUACUCUUCGUAAUUUUACUAGGUUUGUCCAUAUUUUAUAAUAUUUUCUUGAGCAUCAAAGCUAUUUUUAUGUUUUUCUCUGCUAACUCCAAUAUCUAUAUCACCUAUGAAUCUGUCCCUUUCUAUUUUUUUCACUUCCUUGGUUAUUAGUUGGUUUGUUCUGUAUAUUGGCAAGCCUAGUAAUUGAUUGUACAUAUUGUGCAUAAAAAAGAAACUGUAAAGUCAAUUUUUUCAUUAUAAGGUAUCUUCUACCAACAAGGAUUUACCCUUUCAACUACUAUGAAACUAGAAUGGAGAAUUGAUCAUCUUCAUCCAGAUGUAGACUACACUUAGGCUGGAAUGCAGUUUGGGUAAGGCUCGGUGUACCUAUGAUUUAUAUCUGCUCCGAUGGUGUGACCUUCAAUAGGCUUUUGAUUGAGAAUUUAGUGAAUCUUUUGUCUCUUGAGUACUAAGAAUAAUGAAAUUUCCAUUCUGCUUUUCAGCGUUAUAUGACUUAGUUAUUUAGACUUUUGCUCUACGUAUCUUCAGAAAAUAGUAAAUUUUUGAGAUGGAGAUUAGCUAUAUUUGAGGUCUCUUGGGUCUCCAACUUUGCUAUUCUAACCCACAUAGCUGCCAAAACUGUGAUUAUUUAUCUGUGCUUUAGCAGCAGUUCUCUGUUGUAACCAAGCUCAUAUUUCAUUUUAGCCAAAAUCUGCAAAUGUCCCCAGAGAAAAAGGAAACUAUAUAGCUCCUCAGUUUACCUCUGAAAUUAUCCCCGUUUUUUUCCUGGAAUUCCAGUUCCUCCAUGCCAUUUUGCUUCAGCAGCUAACUGAUACCCUUAAAAAUGGUUUUUGUAGUUUACUUGGGUUUUCUAGUUGCCAUGAAUACUUAUUUCAUCAUGCCCUGAAGCAUAAGUCUUGAUAUCCAUAUUACUUUUAUCUUAAGGACUGCUAAAAGUACACAAUUAAAAUUAAUAUCUUUCCUAUACUAUAUAUUUCUUUUUCCUUGUUUUCCAAUAGAGACCUUUUAUUGAAUCUUUAAAAUAUCACUAAUAGGUCUUAGGAAUCAUCUGGCAUCUCAUUUUGUUAAAGACAGCUCUUAGUUCUUACUCAUCAGUAUGCUGAACUGUUCUUUUUUUCAGAUACAUUAACACCAUACAAAAAUUUUCUGAUAUCCUUGCUUUUAACUGUUAUGGUU